CCUACGGGUGGCAGCAGUGGGGAAUAUUGGACAAUGGGCGAAAGCCUGAUCCAGCCAUGCCGCGUGUGUGAAGAAGGCCUUCGGGUUGUAAAGCACUUUCAGUGGGGAAGAAAGCCUUGGGGCUAAUACCCUCGAGGAAGGACAUCACCCACAGAAGAAGCACCGGCUAACUCCGUGCCAGCAGCCGCGGUAAUACGGAGGGUGCGAGCGUUAAUCGGAAUUACUGGGCGUAAAGCGCGCGUAGGCGGUCUUAUAAGCCGGUUGUGAAAGCCCCGGGCUCAACCUGGGAACGGCAUCCGGAACUGUCAGGCUAGAGUGCAGGAGAGGAAGGUAGAAUUCCCGGUGUAGCGGUGAAAUGCGUAGAGAUCGGGAGGAAUACCAGUGGCGAAGGCGGACUUCUGGACUGACACUGACGCUGAGGUGCGAAAGCGUGGGUAGCAAACAGGAUUAGAUACCCGAGUAGUC
rnacentral:rRNA from 1 species